AGCUUUGCACAGUGGCAGUAUCAUAGCCAAUGAGGUUUAUCCGAGGCGCGAUUAUUGCUAAUUAAAAAUUAUCUACCACAAUUCUUCACAAAGGUGAUUGACAUUAAAAACCCCAUAUCUUUCUUAGCUUUCUUCCAUCAGA
ensembl:snRNA U4 U4 spliceosomal RNA